rnacentral:rRNA from 1 species
UACGUAGGGUGCGAGCGUUGUCCGGAAUUACUGGGCGUAAAGAGCUCGUAGGUGGUUUGUCGCGUUGUUCGUGAAAUCUCACGGCUUAACUGUGAGCGUGCGGGCGAUACGGGCAGACUAGAGUACUGCAGGGGAGACUGGAAUUCCUGGUGUAGCGGUGGAAUGCGCAGAUAUCAGGAGGAACACCAGUGGCGAAGGCGACUUUCUGGUCUGUAACUGACGCUGAGGCGCGAAAGCGUGGGGAGCAAACAGG